GAUGAACGCUGGCGGCGUGCCUAAUACAUGCAAGUAGAACGCUGAAGGAGGAGCUUGCCCUUCUGGAUGAGUUGCGCACGGGUGAGUAACGCGUAGGUAACAUGCCUGGUUGUGGGGGAUAACUAUUGGAAACGCUAGCUAAUACCGCAUGACAACAGUUAUUGCAUGAUAAUUGUUUAAAAGGGGCAACUGCUCCACUACCAGAUGGACCUGCGUUGUAUUAGCUAGUUGGUGAUGUAACGGCUCACCAAGGAGACGACACAGAGCCGACCCGGGGAGGGGGUCGGCCACCCUGGGAAUGGGGACCGGCCCAAGCUCCUACGGGGAGGAACAGUAGGGGAUCUUCGGCAAUGGACGGAAGUCUUACCGAACAACGCCGCGGGAGUGAAGGAGGGUUUCGGGUCGUAAAGCUCUGUUGUAAGGGAAGAACGAGCGGGAGAGUUGAAAGUUCACGCUGUGACGGUACCUUACCAGAAAGGGACGGCUAACUACGUG
rnacentral:rRNA from 1 species